rnacentral:rRNA from 1 species
UGGGCAACCUGCCCUCAGCUCUGGGAUAACUCCGGGAAACCGGGGCUAAUACCGGAUACGACCUUCCCUCGCAUGGGGGUUGGUGGAAAGUUCUUCGGCUGAGGAUGGGCCCGCGGCCUAUCAGCUUGUUGGUGGGGUAACGGCCCACCAAGGCGACGACGGGUAGCCGGCCUGAGAGGGCGACCGGCCACACUGGGACUGAGACACGGCCCAGACUCCUACGGGAGGCA